rnacentral:lncRNA from 10 species
CAGGUUUAUCAGGUCAAACCCAGAACACAUCCUCAGGGCAAGCAAUCUGAGGAAUCUCAGUAUGCAGGACCAGUUCAGCAAGAGGUUUAGGUUCAAAUCAGGAGUGAGGGCAAAGUCUGGCUCAUGGUGGAACCUUAGAAAAGUCCCCAGGCACCAUGUGAGGCCAUGUGCCAUGAAGCCCAAUUGCAGGACAGAAAAGGAUGCCCUUCUACCCACACAGUUGGCCAGACCCAACCCUGCCAAGAACACGCCUUCUGGUUCCAAGAUAACAAAAACAAGUCCUAGGUCACACCACCCACAGUGGUGAGAGCCCAAGGGCUGAAGUAGGCAAAGGCCAGGCUCCCAUAACUGAGCCCAUAGCCAUUUUCCCCACUGGGCAGAGUAAAAGCUAAAGAAGCCUUGGGGCGAAGGUCAGGAAGCUGUAGAGGGGUAUAGGAACAACAAAGACCCAAACAGCUCAUCUGUACUACAUAUGUACUAUUGCAUCUACUUUAAUAAAUGCCUACCAUAAAUGUUGCAAGCUGACUUCAUCAGCAAGUAUGGACUGAGCAGGGUAAGGAGGCUGGGAAUUGAGGUUCCAGCUCUACUAUAGGCUUUCUGAGUGGCUGGGACACCUCCAUUUCUCUCACUGGGCCUCAUCCGCAAAAUGAGACAUGGGGUGAGAUUAACACUACGCUCUUCCCUUAACAACCUCAGGCUCUCUGAUACUGUCCACUGCAACACAGAUCUCAAACACCGGUUUACCCCACACCCAAAUAUGGUGGUUACUUCUAGACUUUGACCAUUUUGCUUGCCUAGUUCUCAGCUCUCCGGUAAGAAAAGACAGCCAUGCCUGACUUCUGUUGUGAAAGGGAACACAGAGGGCAUCGUCAUGGGGAUUCCGAAAAUGGGUCCAGUUUUGGCCAGGGGGACCCCUGGAGCUUGCCCAUUGGACUUGGAGCUAAAAGCAUCUUAGCAACUAAGACAGCCGGUCUUUAUAGCCUGGAUGAAAUUUGUAUCUAUUUCCCAGAUGGACAAGAGCCUAGAAGAUCCCAGCCUUGCCACUGGGUAUGAGCACAGGACAGGGGGACGCUCAAUGCUAAGGCUGCCAGAGAAAAUACAGGACUUCCGGUUAAAUUUGAAUUUCAAAUAAACAAGUAAUUUUUAAAGUAUAA